GAUGAACGCUGGCGGCGUGCCUAAUACAUGCAAGUCGAGCGAAUGGAUUAAGAGCUUGCUCUUAUGAAGUUAGCGGCGGACGGGUGAGUAACACGUGGGUAACCUGCCCAUAAGACUGGGAUAACUCCGGGAAACCGGGGCUAAUACCGGAUAACAUUUUGAACCGCAUGGUUCGAAAUUGAAAGGCGGCUUCGGCUGUCACUUAUGGAUGGACCCGCGUCGCAUUAGCUAGUUGGUGAGGUAACGGCUCACCAAGGCAACGAUGCGUAGCCGACCUGAGAGGGGGAUCGGCCACACUGGGACGGAGACACGGCCCAGACUCCUACGGGAGGCAGCAGUAGGGAAUCUUCCGCAAUGGACGAAAGUCUGACGGAGCAACGCCGCGUGAGUGAUGAAGGCUUUCGGGUCGUAAAACUCUGUUGUUAGGGAAGAACAAGUGCUAGUUGAAUAAGCUGGCACCUUGACGGUACCUAACCAGAAAGCCACGGCUAACUACGUGCCAGCAGCCGCGGUAAUAC
rnacentral:rRNA from 1 species